UACUUCAUAUGUAUUUCACUGUAAUGUAUUUAGGUAUGUUUUUAGAGUUAGAAUAUAGAUAAAGGUAUAUUCAGGUCUAUGAAAAUAAGGUGAUAAAUUUAAUAAUUCUCAACUCAGUUUGAUAUCCCUUAUUUAAUAAGAACUUUGUAAGGUUUUCUGUGAAGUUUACAUUAUAUAUUUGUUUACUUUUUUAUUGUUUUUGAGACAGGGUCUCACUCUGUCACCCAGGCUGGAGUGCAGUGGUGUAAUCUCCGUUCACUGCAGGCCUCCUGGGUUCAAUUAGGAUAGAACAGUAGUUCCUCCUACCCAGGGCUUUACAGUCAAGCCAUUCUUUUGCCUCAGCUUCCUGAGUAGCUGGGAUUACAGGUGCCCGCAACCACGCCUGGCUACGUUUUCUAAUUUUUGUACAUUUAGUAGAGACGGGGUUUCACCUUGUUGACCAGGAUGGUCUCGAUCUCUUGACCUUGUGAUCCGCCCGCCUCAGCCUCCCAAAGUGCUGGGAUUAUAGGUGUGAGCCACCGCACCUGGCCUAAUUUUGUAUUUUCAGUAGAGAUGGGGUUUCUCCAUGUUGGCCAGGCUGGUCUCGAACUCUGGACCUGAGGUGAUUCUCCCACCUCGGCCUCCCAAAGUGCUGAGAUUACAGGUGUGAGCCACCAUUCCCGGCCCGAAAGUAGUGCUUAAAUUUUCAAUUUGUUGGGAAGUGAUAAUUUUAUAAAAUGGAAUAAAAAAAUGAAUUACUACAAAAACAAAAUGAAUACUCCAAAAAGCAAAGUUGCAAGUUCAAAUAAUUUUUUUUUGAGAUAGAGUGUCCUCUAUUGCCCAGGUUAGAGUGCAGUGGUGCAAUCUCGGCUCACUGCAACCUCUGUGUCCCAGGUUCAAAUAGUUCUCGUGCCUCAGCC